CCUACGGGCGGCAGCAGUGAGGAAUAUUGGUCAAUGGACGAGAGUCUGAACCAGCCAAGUAGCGUGAAGGAUGACUGCCCUAUGGGUUGUAAACUUCUUUUAUAUGGGAAUAAAAUGUUCCACGUGUGGGAUUUUGUAUGUACCAUAUGAAUAAGGAUCGGCUAACUCCGUGCCAGCAGCCGCGGUAAUACGGAGGAUCCGAGCGUUAUCCGGAUUUAUUGGGUUUAAAGGGAGCGUAGGUGGAUUGUUAAGUCAGUUGUGAAAGUUUGCGGCUCAACCGUAAAAUUGCAGUUGAAACUGGCAGUCUUGAGUACAGUAGAGGUGGGCAGAAUUCGUGGUGUAGCGGUGAAAUGCUUAGAUAUCACGAAGAACUCCGAUUGCGAAGGCAGUUCACUGGACUGCAACUGACACUGAGGCUCGAAAGUGUGGGUAUCAAACAGGAUUAGAUACCCGGGUAGUC
rnacentral:rRNA from 1 species